AUUGAACGCUGGCGGCAUGCCUAACACAUGCAAGUCGAACGGCAGCGCGGAUAGCUUGCUAUCUGGCGGCGAGUGGCGGACGGGUGAGUAAUACAUAGGAAUCUGCCCAGUAGUGGGGGACAACGUAGGGAAACUUACGCUAAUACCGCAUACGACCUAAGGGUGAAAGUGGGGGAUCUUCGGACCUCACGCUAUUGGAUGAGCCUAUGUCUGAUUAGCUUGUUGGUGGGGUAACGGCCUACCAAGGCGACGAUCAGUAGCUGUCUGAGAGGACGAUCAGCCACACCGGAACUGAGACACGGUCCGGACUCCUACGGGAGGCAGCAGUGGGGAAUAUUGGACAAUGGGGGAAACCCUGAUCCAGCAAUGCCGCGUGUGUGAAGAAGGCCUGCGGGUUGUAAAGCACUUUCAGUAGGGAGGAAAAGCCUCGGGAUAAUACCCCGGAGUCUUGACGUAACCUACAGAAGAAGCACCGGCUAACUCCGAGCCAGCAGCCGAC
rnacentral:rRNA from 1 species